rnacentral:rRNA from 1 species
GACGAACCGUGCGAACGUUAUUCGGAAUCACUGGGCGUAAAGGGCGCGUAGGCGGGAUGGCAAGUCGGUCGUGAAAUCCUUCGGCUCAACCGAAGAACGUCGGCCGAUACUGCCGUUCUUGAGGGAUGCAGAGGAGAUUGGAAUUCCCGGUGUAGCGGUGAAAUGUGUAGAGAUCGGGAGGAACACCGGUGGCGAAGGCGGGUCUCUGGGCAUCUCCUGACGCUGAGGCGCGAAAGCGUGGGGAGCAAACAGG